CUGAUAUCGAGGAUAACACCAG
rnacentral:miRNA from 1 species